rfam:Solenopsis invicta Si_gnG.contig14558, whole genome shotgun sequence.
AUCGCUUCUCGGCUCUCUGAGCUAAGAUCAAAUGUGUAGUAUCUGUUCUUAUCAGCUUAAUAUCUGAUACAAUCCCCACAGGGGAUUCAGAAUAUUAAACUGAUUUUUGGAAUAAAGUGGACGUAUGGAGCUUGCUCCGUCUCCGCUACUGGUCGUCCCGAUCUUGCAGUAAAGUCGGGAUUGGCCUCGUAAAU